GAUGAACGCUGGCGGCGUGCUUAACACAUGCAAGUCGAACGGAAAGGCCCAAGCUUGCUUGGGUACUCGGGUGGCGAACGGGUGAGUAACACGUGGGUGAUCUGCCCUGCACUUCGGGAUAAGCCUGGGAAACUGGGUCUAAUACCGGAUAGGACCACUUCUUGGAUGUUGUGGUGGAAAGUUUUUUCGGUGUGGGAUGAGCUCGCGGCCUAUCAGCUUGUUGGUGGGGUAAUGGCCUACCAAGGCGUCGACGGGUAGCCGGCCUGAGAGGGUGUACGGCCACAUUGGGACUGAGAUACGGCCCAGACUCCUACGGGAGGCAGCAGUGGGGAAUAUUGCACAAUGGGCGCAAGCCUGAUGCAGCGACGCCGCGUGGGGGAUGACGGCCUUCGGGUUGUAAACUCCUUUCGCUAGGGACGAAGCGUUUUUGUGACGGUACCUGGAGAAGAAGCACCGGCUAACUACGUG
rnacentral:rRNA from 1 species